UUAGAAAAACACAGACUCAAACUUUUGGGACCCCACUGUAUGUAUUCACUUGUAAACUAGCGGAUAAGUGGAGUACAGACAGAGCAAAACCUGAUCCUGGAUCAGCCCUCCAGCUGUUACACUCUUCAUGAGCAGGAAGCGGAAAACCACGUUCCGGUGCAAUCCUACCUUUCCUCUUCAAGAUAAAUGUGUUGGUGAUGCAGGAGCCAGAUCACCCUGUAUCCCAAGACUGGUUGCCCACUGAAGUCAAGCAGGGUUGAGCCUGGUCAGUAACCUGGAUGGGAGACCUCCUGGGAAAACUAUAGGUUGCUGCUGAAGAGGGGUUAGUGAGGCCAGCAGGGGGUGCUCACCCUGUGGUCUGUGUGAGUCCUGCCCCAGUAUAAUGAUGGGGACACUAUACUCUUAAACCAAGGUUUUGGCCCUCUGUGGUUAUUAAAACUCCCAUGGCACCUCUCAUAACAUUAUGUGAAAAGAUUUCUUUGUUAGUGGCUCUGCAACACGAACCCAUCCCAAACAGUGCGCCACUGUGUGCAUCAGUCCCAUCGCUGUGUGUUGUGCAUGUCAAAUAAAAUCAGUCAUAAUCAUGAA